rnacentral:rRNA from 1 species
GACGUAGGGCGCGAGCGUUGUCCGGAUUUAUUGGGCGUAAAGAGCUCGUAGGCGGCUUGUUGCGUCGACUGUGAAAACCCGCGGCUUAACCGCGGGCUUGCAGUUGAUACGGGCAGGCUAGAGUUCGGUAGGGGAGACUGGAAUUCCUGGUGUAGCGGUGAAAUGCGCAGAUAUCAGGAGGAACACCGGUGGCGAAGGCGGAUCUCUGGGCCUGUCCUGACGCUCAGGCGCGAAAGCUAGGGGAGCAAACAGG